UACGUAGGUGGCAAGCGUUGUCCGGAUUUACUGGGCGUAAAGAGCGCGCAGGCGGUCGAUCAAGUCGAGUGUGAAAGCCCCCGGCUCAACUGGGGAGGGUCAUUCGAUACUGAUCGACUCGAAGGCAGGAGAGGGUAGUGGAAUUCCCGGUGUAGUGGUGAGAUGCGUAGAUAUCGGGAGGAACACCAGUGGCGAAGGCGACUACCUGGCCUGUUCUUGACGCUGAGGCGCGAAAGCUAGGGGAGCAAACGGG
rnacentral:rRNA from 1 species